rnacentral:rRNA from 1 species
UAGGGUAUCUUCGGCAAUGGACGAAAGUCUGACCGAGCAACGCCGCGUGAGUGAAGAAGGUUUUCGGAUCGUAAAACUCUGUUGUUAGAGAAGAACAAGGACGUUAGUAACUGAACGUCCCCUGACGGUAUCUAACCAGAAAGCCACGGCUAACUACGUGCCAGCAGCCGCGGUAAUACGUAGGUGGCAAGCGUUGUCCGGAUUUAUUGGGCGUAAAGCGAGCGCAGGCGGUUUCUUAAGUCUGAUGUGAAAGCCCCCGGCUCAACCGGGGAGGGUCAUUGGAAACUGGGAGACUUGAGUGCAGAAGAGGAGAGUGGAAUUCCAUGUGUAGCGGUGAAAUGCGUAGAUAUAUGGAGGAACACCAGUGGCGAAGGCGGCUCUCUGGUCUGUAACUGACGCUGAGGCUCGAAAGCGUGGGGAGCAAACAGG